rnacentral:rRNA from 1 species
ACACAUGCAAGUCGAGGGGCAGCAUGGUCUUAGCUUGCUAAGGCUGAUGGCGACCGGCGCACGGGUGAGUAACACGUAUCCAACCUGCCGUCUACUCUUGGCCAGCCUUCUGAAAGGAAGAUUAAUCCAGGAUGGGAUCAUGAGUUCACAUGUCCGCAUGAUUAAAGGUAUUUUCCGGUAGACGAUGGGGAUGCGUUCCAUUAGAUAGUAGGCGGGGUAACGGCCCACCUAGUCAACGAUGGAUAGGGGUUCUGAGAGGAAGGUCCCCCACAUUGGAACUGAGACACGGUCCAAACUCCUACGGGAGGCAGCAGUGAGGAAUAUUGGUCAAUGGGCGAUGGCCUGAACCAGCCAAGUAGCGUGAAGGAUGACUGCCCUAUGGGUUGUAAACUUCUUUUAUAAAGGAAUAAAGUCGGGUAUGCAUACCCGUUUGCAUGUACUUUAUGAAUAAGGAUCGGCUAACUCCGUGCCAGCAGCCGCGGUAAUACGGAGGAUCCGAGCGUUAUCCGGAUUUAUUGGGUUUAAAGGGAGCGUAGAUGGAUGUUUAAGUCAGUUGUGAAAGUUUGCGGCUCAACCGUAAAAUUGCAGUUGAUACUGGAUGUCUUGAGUGCAGUUGAGGCAGGCGGAAUUCGUGGUGUAGCGGUGAAAUGCUUAGAUAUCACGAAGAACUCCGAUUGCGAAGGCAGCCUGCUAAGCUGCAACUGACAUUGAGGCUCGAAAGUGUGGGUAUCAAACAGGAUUAGAUACCCUGGUAGUCCACACGGUAAACGAUGAAUACUCGCUGUUUGCGAUAUACGGCAAGCGGCCAAGCGAAAGCGUUAAGUAUUCCACCUGGGGAGUACGCCGGCAACGGUGAAACUCAAAGGAAUUGACGGGGGCCC